UCAGCGCACUUGGGGUUACCGCCCCGUAGAGCUGCGCGUGCGCAGGACGGGCUGACGCCGAGGAAGGCUGUGUCCGAGCCACGUGAUCAGUGAGGCCGCAGCCAGAGAAUUUGUCGUCGACGUGGAGGCUGGGGUCCAAGAGAAAAAGGCAUGCCACACCGUACAGGGGACCUCUCCAGAGUAAGAACAAGGGAGCAGACUCAACCAAGUCACAGUCAGGGAGGAUGAGAAGGAGAACUUGUGCAGGUCCCAGCCUCUUCACACCGAUGCACCUGCUUCGCUUGGAUGUGGUACUUACAGCCUGUGUGUGGGGAUGGUGAGCCAUCAGAAAACUAUAAAACUUGCAGGAGCUGCCUCUGAACCUAAAGAGGAGGACUUCAUUUUGCCUGGAGGAUUGAGAUUUGUAUGAAGCCUGAUGAGACUUUGCUCUCCCCUCGUUGGGAAGAGGUAGAAGGGUCUUCAUUUAAUGUUGUCAGCCAGCACAAGCAGAUGAAGCAGGCAGCACUUGUGUGGCCUGUCACCCCUUCACAAAGGAGUGAUCCUAUUUUGCUGACAGCCCUGAAGACCACUCAAUCUCACACUGCAAAGCUGUCCGUGAUCAGAAGCAAGCCCGGUUCCAGGAGAGAAUUUCACCAAAAUGCAAGUAGAGCGAACAUUUGCUUCUCUUCUGGGUUCAGGAGGACAAACAAUGUCUCCUGUGCAAAAGGCGGGGAAAAGUUCAGAGGCACAAAUGCCACAGUCCUGUUUCUGUGCACGGAUUCAGAGAGAAA